rnacentral:rRNA from 1 species
CACGCCCUAAACGAUGUCUACUAGUUGUCGGGGAUUAAUUUCCUUGGUAACGCAGCUAACGCGCGAAGUAGACCGCCUGGGGAGUACGGUCGCAAGAUUAAAACUCAAAGGAAUUGACGG